AGAAUUAUUUGGUAGAAGAGAUCCCAUGAUCACAGGGUGCUUUUCCCAGGGUGAGGAUUAUUCAUUGCAUUUGGAACAUGCUGACCCCUGUAAUUAGCCAAAUGUGGGGAACCCCACCCCAUCAUUUGUGGUCCUGGGGGAAUGUGCUUGCCCUCUACCCUG